GCCCUCGUAGCGCGGCGGAAGCGCGUGGCCCUCCGAAGGCCAAGGCCGCUGGUUCGAAUCCAGCCGGGGGCGC
rnacentral:tRNA from 1 species